AAUGGGCGAAAGCCUGAUCCAGCCAUGCCGCGUGAGUGAUGAAGGCCCUAGGGUUGUAAAGCUCUUUCGACGGGGACGAUAAUGACGGUACCCGUAGAAGAAGCCCCGGCUAACUUCGUGCCAGCAGCCGCGGUAAUACGAAGGGGGCUAGCGUUGUUCGGAAUCACUGGGCGUAAAGCGCACGUAGGCGGAUUAUUAAGUCGGGGGUGAAAUCCCGAGGCUCAACCUCGGAACUGCCUUCGAUACUGGUAAUCUUCGAGUCCGGGAGAGGUGAGUGGAACUCCGAGUGUAGAGGUGAAAUUCGUAGAUAUUCGGAAGAACACCAGUGGCGAAGGCGGCUCACUGGCCCGGUACUGACGCUGAGGUGCGAAAGCGUGGGGAGCAAA
rnacentral:rRNA from 1 species